rnacentral:tRNA from 1 species
GGUGAUGUAGCUCAGCGGAAAUGAGAGCAGCGGUUUCCUACACCGCCGGUCGUGAGUUCAAAUCUCACCAUCACCUCCA